rnacentral:rRNA from 1 species
UUGGUUUCACCCGAAGACGGUGCGCUAACCGCAAGGAGGCAGCCGGCCACGGUAGGGUCAGCGACUGGGGUGAAGUCGUAACAAGGUAGCAGUAGGUGAACCUGCAGAAGGAUCA